rnacentral:sRNA from 1 species
CUAGCAUUGUUAGUUAGAAGUAGCCUUGCUUUUUGAUUAUGAGGGCGAGGGUACGUCCACUAUAGUGGCUACCACAUUGCCCCUCGUGCAUGUUUUUCAUGAGGUCUUUUAUUUGUUGCCCGUAGGUACACACCAUAUAGGGACCUGCGACGUUGCGUUUCAUAAGUCUCCCUUCCAUGAUGCAGUACCUUGCGCUCUGGGUUUUGAGUUUUCUGGUCUCCCACUUGUCGGGAGGUGUGAUCCCUCGUUCGAUGUAAUCGAUGAUUGGGAUUCUCCAGUCGUUGUACGGUUCAGGUUCGUAUGAGGCAGGUUGUUCGGGGGUUCCGAGCUCAGGCUCUUCCUCCGCUGCACCUGCCUCCGC